rnacentral:rRNA from 1 species
UACGUAGGGUGCGAGCGUUAAUCGGAAUUACUGGGCGUAAAGCGUGCGCAGGCGGUUUUGUAAGCCAGAUGUGAAAGCCCCGGGCUCAACCUGGGAAUGGCAUUUGGGACUGCAAGGCUGGAGUUUGGCAGAGGAGACUGGAAUUCCUGGUGUAGCAGUGAAAUGCGUAGAUAUCAGGAGGAAUACCGAUGGCGAAGGCAGGUCUCUGGGCUAU